rnacentral:rRNA from 1 species
GACGGGUGAGUAAUGCCUAGGAAUCUGCCUGGUAGUGGGGGAUAACGUCCGGAAACGGGCGCUAAUACCGCAUACGUCCUGAGGGAGAAAGUGGGGGAUCUUCGGACCUCACGCUAUCAGAUGAGCCUAGGUCGGAUUAGCUAGUUGGUGGGGUAAAGGCCUACCAAGGCGACGAUCCGUAACUGGUCUGAGAGGAUGAUCAGUCACACUGGAACUGAGACACGGUCCAGACUCCUACGGGAGGCAGCAGUGGGGAAUAUUGGACAAUGGGCGAAAGCCUGAUCCAGCCAUGCCGCGUGUGUGAAGAAGGUCUUCGGAUUGUAAAGCACUUUAAGUUGGGAGGAAGGGCAGUAAGUUAAUACCUUGCUGUUUUGACGUUACCAACAGAAUAAGCACCGGCUAACUUCGUGCCAGCAGCCGCGGUAAUACGAAGGGUGCAAGCGUUAAUCGGAAUUACUGGGCGUAAAGCGCGCGUAGGUGGUUCAGCAAGUUGGAUGUGAAAUCCCCGGGCUCAACCUGGGAACUGCAUCCAAAACUACUGAGCUAGAGUACGGUAGAGGGUGGUGGAAUUUCCUGUGUAGCGGUGAAAUGCGUAGAUAUAG